GGUACUAUAGUGUAGCGGUUAUCACUUGGGAUUCUGAUAAAUGUUCCCAAAACCCAGGUUCGAUUCCUGGUAGUACCU